rnacentral:rRNA from 1 species
CGCUGGCGGCAUGCUUAACACAUGCAAGUCGAACGGUAACGCGGGGAGCUUGCUCCCUGGCGACGAGUGGCGGACGGGUGCGUAACACGUAGGAAUCUACCUGGCAGUGGGGAACAACUCGGGGAAACUCGGGCUAAUACCGCAUGAGCCUUAAGAGGGAAAGCGGGCCUCUACUUGUAAGCUCGCGCUGUCGGAUGAGCCUGCGUCCGAUUAGUUUGUUGGUGAGGUAAUGGCUCACCAAGGCGAUGAUCGGUAGCUGGUCUGAGAGGAUGAUCAGCCACACUGGGACUGAGACACGGCCCAGACUCCUGCGGGAGGCAGCAGUGGGGAAUAUUGGACAAUGGGCGCAAGCCUGAUCCAGCAAUGCCGCGUGUGUGAAGAAGGCCUUCGGGUUGUAAAGCACUUUCAGUAGGGAAGAAACGCGUCGGGUUAAUACCCCGAUGAAUUGACAUUACCUACAGAAGAAGCACCGGCUAACUUCGUGCCAGCAGCCGCGGUAAUACGAAGGGUGCAAGCGUUAAUCGGAAUUACUGG